AUACAAGGUAUUGAUCCUGAGUGUGUCUGUGAGGGUGUUGCCAAAAGAGGUUAACAUGUGAGUCAGUGGGCUGGGAAAGGCAGACCCACCCCUAAUCUGGGUGGGCACAAUCUAAUCAGCUGCCAGGUCGGCUAGAAUAUAAACAGGCAGAAAAAUGUGAAAAGAGAGACUGGCCUAGCUUCUCAGCCUACACCUUUCUCCCGUGCUGGAUGCUUCCUGCCCACCAACAUCAGACGCCAAGUUCUUCAGUUUUGGAACUCAGAUUGGCUCUCCUGGCUCCUCAGCCUGCAGAUGGCCUAUUGUGGAACCUUGUGAUUUUAACUUUGGUCUAUUUUUCUGGUGAAUAAUAUGUAGCAGGACUGGUACCAGAACCAGGUCAUCCAGAGAUGUUCUGUCUGCUGCCAUCAACUCGGGACCUCAGAAGGUGGUACUCCUCCCCUAAAGGUCAUGUGAAAGACUGUGUAUAAUUCAGAAGAGAUAUUUCUACAGUGAAAAAAAAUACCCCAUAUUUAAAUCAAUUCAAGUUUCUUCUUGACAUCUAGGCUGUAUCUAGGACACAUCUGGACAUCUGGAAACAUCCAAAUUUGACUGACUUUUCCAGUUUUCAGCAGAACAUUUAGUAAAUAAAAGAAUAAGAAACUUGUACUAAUCAUAUAUUUUUUUGAAAGUCAACAGCAUUUCAGUGGGGCUGAUGUCCUCAUGGCCUGGCCUUUAUUUCUUGCCUCAUGUCAGACUUAACCCAUGUUGGUGGAGGAGGCUGACAUUCAAAGGGUGUGGUUUUUGAGGUUGCCACAUGCCUUGCCAUGACUUAAAAUAUCUCUCUCUGGCUGCCAGAUGGCCUGGGGAAGCACCAGACACAGGCUCCAUUGACCUCAGAACUUGUUGCUUUAGGACUGGAAGCUCUUUC
rnacentral:lncRNA from 1 species